ACAGUACAAACUGAUCAGGCGAUACGAUAUGGUAUAGAGCCGGGCUUUAAAGCAGCAGAUGUGAUAAGAGUUCAGAGAUUUUUCUGAAAAGUGGCACAUCUGUGGGACAGUG
ncrna:unclassified sequences NiCo riboswitch